rnacentral:rRNA from 1 species
CCAAGAAGUCUAACGUGUGGGCGAGUCUUCGGGGACCUUGUGAACCCUAUGAAGGCGCAAUAAAAGUGAAGGCUUCCGUGCGCUGCGCUUCGGCGCGGGGCGCGGCGGCUGCAGUGGGAUCCCCGGUCUAAGGGCCGGGGCGCACCACUGGCCCGUCCUACGACCGCUUCGCCGGUCGGGCGGAGCAAGAGCCCACGCGUUGGGACCCGAAAGAUGGUGAACUAUGCCUGGGCAGGACGAGGCCAGAGGAAACUCUGGUGGAAGUCCGCAGCGGUUCUGACGUGCAAAUCGAUCGUCGGACCUGGGUAUAGGGGCGAAAGACUAAUCGAACCAUC